rnacentral:rRNA from 1 species
UACGGGGGGAGCAAGCGUUGUUCGGAUUUACUGGGCGUAAAGGGCGCGUAGGCGGCGUGACAAGUCACUUGUGAAAUCUCCGGGCUUAACUCGGAACGGUCAAGUGAUACUGUCGUGCUAGAGUACAGAAGGGGCAACUGGAAUUCUCGGUGUAGCGGUGAAAUGCGUAGAUAUCGAGAGGAACACCUGCGGCGAAGGUGGGUUGCUGGGCUGACACUGACGCUGAGGCGCGAAAGCCAGGGGAGCGAACGGG